GAGGGUAUAGCUCAAGUGGUAGAGUGCAUGCUUAGCAUGCAAGAGGUCCUGGGUUCAAUCCCCAGUACCUCCU
rnacentral:tRNA from 1 species